GGAAGUAGAAGUCGUAACAAGGUUUCCGUAGGUGAACCUGCGGAAGGAUCAUUACUGAGAACUUGCCCUUUGGGGUAGAUCUCCCACCCUCUGUCUACAUACUUUGUUGCUUUGGCAGGCCUGCCUCUGCGCUACUGGCCUCAGCUAGUUAGUGCCUGCCAGAGAAUCAAAACCCAGAAUCAUUUAUUGUCUGAGUAAUAUUUAAUAGUUAAAACUUUCAACAACGGAUCUCUUGGUUCUG
rnacentral:misc_RNA from 1 species